rnacentral:misc_RNA from 1 species
UUUGUCAGGUAAGACAAACUGCACGAAAGUUCAGCCCAGUUGUUGGCGUACCUUUUCUAGGUGUGGUUUUACAGAUUUUCUCUACCAGCCAUUAUGAAGGAGCAGACCUACGGCUGGUAUCCUUCACAAAAGGAUGUGUACAAGGACCGCAGGAUGGGCGCUCCUAAUGCCUACCAGCUGGAGGCCAUGUACAAAUACCGGGACAGUCAGUACUAUACAGCACCCAAACCACCGUCCCCUCGCACCCCAGGGGCAUUCCGACCCUCACCCUCGCCGCCAAAGCGACCGAUGUCCACCGUGUCCUCUCAGUCCAGGGGGACAAAGAAGUCCAGCUCCUCUUUACAGGUCAGGGCCAAGAGCGCCCCUAUAUACGACUUCAAACCUGUACAACGCCUUCAGAUCCCCACCCCUCAGCAGUGCUGGGCAAUGGCUACCGAAGAAACGAACUACACAAUCCCCUCGGACCAGCCGGGCCCCUCCCCCAGUACCUUACUCCUGGCCCACCCCACAGCCAGCCUCCCCCGCACCCUCCUUCCAGUCGGACCAGCUGAGUAAAUACGAUAUCCGCAGCGACAGAAUCAAAAGCGCCGUCAUCAGGCGCGAUAGACCAGCGGCCCCCACACGUCCCGUCAAAUCCGCCGGUCCCGUCACGGGAGACGACCCACAGAUCGGGGUCCCCCAUGAAGGCCCUCAGACCAAAGACCCCGUCCCCAAUAGAGCUAGAGGACAUGGUCCCAGAGGAGACAGUGCCGACAGAAGAACUCUAUGACGAAAAUCUGAAGAAGUUUGGAUGGAGGAUGGAGGUACACGGUGAUCCGUACAGACUCAAACCUACCACCAAGCGGCUUCCGUAUUACGUACGGUGUGACGAACCGGAGAUAGAGCCCGAGGGUCCCCGAGUACACAUGGAGAAUCUGGAGACCUUCUUCCUGAACACCAUUCCGCGCAGGCCUGCCACCUUUACCAUACACAAAGAGUGGGUGUCCGAAACAAUCCAUGCCAAGAGAAUGGAACUCCAGAAACGGGAGGGGAUCAAGCAUCGGUGGAAGAAUUUCGCUUUCGUCUAUUAACUCUUUUUCUUCCCUUGCUUUAAUCUCCUUUAUAUAUACCUCAGCUGCUUAGACCAAAAUCAUUCAACGGAAUAGGUACACAUUUGUCGAUUCCUAGCAAAGGGAGAGAACUCUAGGAUUAUAGUCAGGUUUUGUGACGUAGAUCAUAUAUAGGUCUGUCGGGGGUUUCCGGUCUGGUCCUGUUUCCUAGACCCUCUGCUGUUGGCCGUUAGAUGUUAACACAGGAAUGCGCAUGCCGGGAUUCGAACUCACUGCCUUGCAUCGUUUCCCAUUACCACUGUGAUCCGCUACACCAUGUGUAGUAUACUAUAUAAAUCAGCGAUGUCUUUCAUACAGCUCCAUCCAAUCUAUACUCUGGAAGUUACCAAUAUUAUAAAUUUUGUUGUUAUGUACAUAUAUUUUUAUUUUCAAAUAAAAAAAUAUCCUGAUUUUUCAUGAAUGGGUAUACAUGUUUUUUUCUGUUUAUGUCAUAGGUAUUUUUUCUAUUUUUGAAAUAUGUAUAUAAAAUAAAAUUGUUAUCAAUU